AUUGAACGCUGGCGGCAGGCCUAACACAUGCAAGUCGAACGGUAGCACAGAGAGCUUGCUCUCGGGUGACGAGUGGCGGACGGGUGAGUAACGUCUGGGAAACUGCCCGAUGGAGGGGGAUAACUACUGGAAACGGUAGCUAAUACCGCAUAACGUCGCAAGACCAAAGUGGGGGACCUUCGGGCCUCACACCAUCGGAUGUGCCCAGAUGGGAUUAGCUAGUAGGUGGGGUAAUGGCUCACCUAGGCGACGAUCCCUAGCUGGUCUGAGAGGAGGACCAGCCCCACUGGAACUGAGACACGGUCCAGACUCCUACGGGAGGCAGCAGUGGGGAAUAUUGCACAAUGGGCGCAAGCCUGAUGCAGCCAUGCCGCGUGUAUGAAGAAGGCCUUCGGGUUGUAAAGUACUUUCAGCGGGGAGGAAGGCGGUGAAGUUAAUAGCUUAACCGAUUGACGUUACCCGCAGAAGAAGCACCGGCUAACUCCGUGCCAGCAGCCGCCGUAA
rnacentral:rRNA from 1 species